rnacentral:snoRNA from 1 species
UUGGAAAGGAUGACCCUUUCCCCAAAUGAUCGACGCUGAUUCCAACUUUGCGAUAGCUCUACGGAGCCAAGCCAGUAGCUGAUCCAA